GCCGCUGUAGCUCAGGGGUAGAGCAUUCCCAUGGUAAGGGAAGGGUCACGAGUUCAACUCUCGUCAGCGGCU
rnacentral:tRNA from 1 species